UAAUGCUUAAACAUUCUAGGUCAUUUUCUGU
rnacentral:piRNA from 1 species